GAGUUUGAUCCUGGCUCAGGACGAACGCUGGCGGCGUGCCUAACACAUGCAAGUCGAGCGAGAAUUUCACGACGGAAUCCUUCGGGAUGAAGAUGUGAAAGGAAAGCGGCGGACGGGUGAGUAACGCGUGAGUAACCUGCCUAUCAGAGGGGGACAACAUUUCGAAAGGAAUGCUAAUACCGCAUAAAAUAACAGUACCGCAUGAUACAGUUAUCAAAGAUUUAUCGCUGAUAGAUGGACUCGCGUCUGAUUAGAUAGUUGGUGAGGUAACGGCUCACCAAGUCGACGAUCAGUAGCCGAACUGAGAGGUUGAUCGGCCACAUUGGGACUGAGACACGGCCCAGACUCCUACGGGAGGCAGCAGUGGGGGAAUAUUGCGCAAUGGGGCAACCCUGACGCAGCAACGCCGCGUGAAGGAUGAAGGUCUUCGGAUUGUAAAGUUCUUUUAUUAAGGACGAAGAAGUGACGGUACUUAAUGAAUAAGCUCCGGCUAACUACGU
rnacentral:rRNA from 1 species